rnacentral:rRNA from 1 species
AUGAAUCGCGGUUGCGCGUCAUUCACGGAUCUCCUCUUCAGUUUUUGUUCCCAACCGGUCGCAGCCGAGGGCGUCCCAGAUCCGGCAUUGCUAGAGGAAGGGGAGGGAGACGACGAGUGCGGGGGUGGAGGGGAUUAUGGUGUUAAUGACUCUCCUUACUCAAGUUCUGCAUCUCAAGUUCAUGAAGCCACGGAAGAUUUUCUCAAUGUCCCAGAUUGUGACAACACCAACAGUUACCAGGAGCCUCCAUCUGAAUCCCAGCGCACUCCAAUGCCGUGGCCUCAAAGGAUCCGUCUUGGUAAGAUACCUGACCGCCGCGCCUCAUUGUCGGGAAGGAAAAGUGCUUUGGAGAAGGCCAUGAGAAACUUUGCAGAUAAGAAGUCAGGUAUCGUUGUCAAGCCGGAGAUCAGUCAGGAAUUUGACUCUCUCGACGAAGCGUACGACUUCUACAACCUAUACUCUUGGGAGACUGGUUUUGGCAUCAAGUAUGGGCAAUGCAGAAGAAAUGUUGACAAGUGCAAGAUUGUCCAGGACAUAGUAUGUGGAUGCGCGGGGAAACCACGUAGGGAGAAUUCACAUUCAGUAUGCUGCCAAUGUCCUGCACUUAUAAGGUUGCAUCGCACAUCAGACCAUGGCUGGUUCAUUCAUGACAUGAAGUAUCAGGGGAAACCACGUAGGGAGAAUUCACAUUCAGUAUGCUGCCAAUGUCCUGCACUUAUGAGGUUGCAUCGCACAUCAGACCAUGGCUGGUUCAUCCAUGACAUGAAGUAUGAGGUUGCAGCCGGCAUCGUCUAUGAACAACUUUGUUAG